GUCCACGCCGUAAACGAUGUCGAUUUGGAGGUUGUGCCCUUGAGGCGUGGCUUCCGGAGCUAACGCGUUAAAUCGACCGCCUGGGGAGUACGGCCGCAAGGUUAAAACUCAAAUGAAUUGACGGGGGCCCGCACAAGCGGUGGAGCAUGUGGUUUAAUUCGAUGCAACGCGAAGAACCUUACCUGGUCUUGACAUCCACAGAACUUUCCAGAGAUGGAUUGGUGCCUUCGGGAACUGUGAGACAGGUGCUGCAUGGCUGUCGUCAGCUCGUGUUGUGAAAUGUUGGGUUAAGUCCCGCAACGAGCGCAACCCUUAUCCUUUGUUGCCAGCGGUUCGGCCGGGAACUCAAAGGAGACUGCCAGUGAUAAACUGGAGGAAGGUGGGGAUGACGUCAAGUCAUCAUGGCCCUUACGACCAGGGCUACACACGUGCUACAAUGGCAUAUACAAAGAGAAGCGACCUCGCGAGAGCAAGCGGACCUCAUAAAGUAUGUCGUAGUCCGGAUUGGAGUCUGCAACUCGACUCCAUGAAGUCGGAAUCGCUAGUAAUCGUAGAUCAGAAUGCUACGGUGAAUACGUUCCCGGGCCUUGUACACACCGCCCGUCACACCAUGGGAGUGGGUUGCAAAAGAAGUAGGUAGCUUAACCUUCGGGAGGGCGCUUACCACUUUGUGAUUCAUGACU
rnacentral:rRNA from 1 species